UACAGAGGCCUCGAGCGUUAAUCGGAAUCACUGGGCGUAAAGGGUGCGUAGGCGGCGGAGUAAGUCGGGUGUGAAAUUUCGGAGCUUAACUCCGAAACUGCAUUCGAUACUGGCGUGCUUGAGGACUGGAGAGGAGACUGGAAUUCAUGGUGUAGCAGUGAAAUGCGUAGAGAUCAUGAGGAAGACCAGUGGCGAAGGCGGGUCUCUGGACAGUUCCUGACACUGAGACACGAAGGCCAGGGGAGCAAACGGG
rnacentral:rRNA from 1 species